UUUUUGGUCGGAAUCAAAUUUUAUUAGAUAGAAGGCAAAAGCUGGCAACAAAUUGAGCUCAAUAAAAAAGAACUGCAACACAUGAAGGAAUAAAAUUGAAGUAGGACAUAAAGCACAGAAAAGCAAAAUGCAUACAAAAAGCAGGGAGUUGCGCAAUCAACACAAGCCUACACCAACUGAAAAGGAACUAGUAACCAAUGCGCGAGACAAAAAAUGGUGGUGGACAAUGUUGACGUGAGUCUCCUAAUUAAUCAAGGAGAUUUAUUUCCUUGAUUAAUUAAGGGAUUUACUUUCCUAUUCUAUAUAGUUAACAAAUCAUUGUAUAAUUAAAAGAUACUAUCCUAAUUGAUUACUGUAUCUAUUUUCUUGUAAAGCACUCAUGUAAACUCCCAUAUAUACCUCAUAAUGGAGAAGAAUAAAA
rnacentral:lncRNA from 1 species